rnacentral:rRNA from 1 species
UCGGAUCAGGUAGGGAUACCCGCUGAACUUAAGCAUAUCAAUAAGCGGAGGAAAAGAAACUAACAAGGAUUCCCCUAGUAACGGCGAGUGAAGCGGGAAGAGCUCAAAUUUGAAAUCUGGUGGCCUCAGGUCAUCCGAGUUGUAAUCUAUAGAAGUGUUUUCCGUGCUGGCUCAUGUACAAGUCCCUUGGAACAGGGCGUCAUAGAGGGUGAGAAUCCCGUCCU